UUUACGUAAAUUUGUUUAAAAACCCGUUUUGAAAAGACCUCCAAACAAGCCCUUAAUCUUCUAUUCAACAGACUGCAUAUCUUGAAUCAGAGUUGUGUGCAGCUCGUAGAUUGCUCCCCACGACAAGGUAAGAAGAAAUAACAUAAGGCACAAAAUUUGAAGCAGCACGCACGUUUUAAAUGUUGAACGCCACUGCCAUUUAGCACACCCAUAUUUUAAUUCCUUUUUUUAUGACUAUUGCUUUCCAUUCUCCAUUGUUGACUUGUGAAUGUGAAUGAUUUGUCCCCGUAUAUUCAAAGGCCACUGCAUUUUCCUUCUUUCUUUUGGAUUAAAAGUCAGUCGUUCCCAUUAUAUUAUUCUAGUGCCCUUGACUCCUACCACGACCAACAAUUUCUAUAUAAAUUUUUUUCGGCAUUAACGUCUUCGAUCGGUUGUGCCCACCUUCCACAACUUUUCCAAGCUUCUUCCUUGCAAGAACUUCGACAUACCACGAUCCAGGUAAGAUAUAUAUAAAUAUAUAUAUAGAUAGAGAGUGAGAGAGU